rnacentral:rRNA from 1 species
GAUGAACGCUGGCGGCGUGCCUAAUACAUGCAAGUCGAGCGAACAGACGAGGAGCUUGCUCCUCUGACGUUAGCGGCGGACGGGUGAGUAACACGUGGAUAACCUACCUAUAAGACUGGGAUAACUUCGGGAAACCGGAGCUAAUACCGGAUAAUAUAUUGAACCGCAUGGUUCAAUAGUGAAAGACGGUUUUGCUGUCACUUAUAGAUGGAUCCGCGCCGCAUUAGCUAGUUGGUAAGGUAACGGCUUACCAAGGCAACGAUGCGUAGCCGACCUGAGAGGGUGAUCGGCCACACUGGAACUGAGACACGGUCCAGACUCCUACGGGAGGCAGCAGUAGGGAAUCUUCCGCAAUGGGCGAAAGCCUGACGGAGCAACGCCGCGUGAGUGAUGAAGGUCUUCGGAUCGUAAAACUCUAGUUAUUAGGUAAGAA